rnacentral:rRNA from 1 species
CCACCUACGGGAGGCAGCAGUGAGGAAUAUUGGUCAAUGGUCGGGAGACUGAACCAGCCAAGCCGCGUGAGGGAGGAAGGUACAGAGUAUCGUAAACCUCUUUUGUCAGGGAACAAAGACUGGGACGCGUCCCCGGAUGAGUGUACCUGAAGAAAAAGCAUCGGCUAACUCCGUGCCAGCAGCCGCGGUAAUACGGAGGGUGCAAGCGUUACUCGGAAUCACUGGGCGUAAAGAGUGCGUAGGCGGGGUAAUAAGGCAGAUGUGAAAACCUGUAGCUUAACUACAG